rnacentral:misc_RNA from 1 species
GAUGAAGAACGCAGCGAAAUGCGAUAAGUAGUGUGAAUUGCAGAAUUCAGUGAAUCAUCGAAUCUUUGAACGCGCAUUGCGUCCUUUGGUAUUCCUUAGGGCAUGCCUGUUCGAGCGUCAUUUCAACCCUCAAGCCCUGCUUGGUGUUGGGCGUUUGUCCUGCCUCCGCGCGGGACUCGCCUCAAAGACAUUGGCGGCCGGUUUCCCUUUGCAGGCCACGAGCGCAGCACAGCGAGCGCUCUACGUGGACGCGGGGUCGGCGCACCAGAAGCCCUCUUUCUCGAAUUUUGACCUCGGAUCAGGUAGGGAUACCCGCUGAACUUAAGCAUAUCAAUAAGCGGAGGA